GACGAACGCUGGCGGCGUGCUUAACACAUGCAAGUCGAACGGAAAGGCCCUGCUUUUGUGGGGUGCUCGAGUGGCGAACGGGUGAGUAACACGUGAGUAACCUGCCCUUGACUUUGGGAUAACUUCAGGAAACUGGGGCUAAUACCGGAUAGGAGCUCCUGCUGCAUGGUGGGGGUUGGAAAGUUUCGGCGGUGGGGACUGGACUCGCGGCUUAGCAGCGUGGUGGUGGGGUAGUGGAUUACCAAGGCUUUGACGGGUAGCCGGCCUGUGAGGGUGACCGGCCACAGUGGGACGGAGAUACGGCCCAGACUCCAACGGGAGGCAGCAGGGGGGAAGAGUGCACAAUGGGCGGAAGCCUGAUGCAGCAACGCCGCGUGCGGGAUGACGGCCUUCGGGUUGUAAACCGCUUUCGCCUGUGACGAAGCGUGAGUGACGGUAAUGGGUAAAGAAGCACCGGCUAACUACGUG
rnacentral:rRNA from 1 species